GUACGUGCCUGUGUUCCAAGCCAACACGUUGUGUUGCGGAACCACAGGAGUGAUGACGGAUCCGACCUCAUUCGAACUAAUUUUACGAUGUUAUUAUUAGUUACGAGAUUUUGUGUCGAGACAUUCAUUCCCCUGACGCGUGUGAUAGGUUAGACCAGUCCGCACCGGGACCGUGCGAUACACGGAGCGACCGACGCGAGCGUCAGUCCCCGCGUCCCAAGUAAUGGGAACACUGGCGCCC